rnacentral:rRNA from 1 species
GGCUUGGCGGCAUGCUUUACCAUGCAGUCGAACGGUAACAGGCCUUCGGGUGCUGACGAGUGGCGAACGGGUGAGUAAUGCAUCGGAACGUACCCAGAGGUGGGGGAUAACGCAGCGAAAGCUGUGCUAAUACCGCAUGUGAUCUGAGGAUGAAAGCGGGGGACCGGGCAGCAAUGUUUGGCCUCGCGCCUUUGGAGCGGCCGAUGUCGGAUUAGCUAGUUGGUGGGGUAAAGGCCUACCAAGGCGACGAUCCGUAGCUGGUCUGAGAGGACGACCAGCCACACUGGGACUGAGACACGGCCCAGACUCCUACGGGAGGCAGCAGUGGGGAAUUUUGGACAAUGGGCGCAAGCCUGAUCCAGCAAUGCCGCGUGCGGGAAGAAGGCCUUCGGGUUGUAAACCGCUUUUGGCAGGAACGAAACGGUGUCCGCUAAUACCGGGCGCUAAUGACGGUACCUGCAGAAUAAGCACCGGCUAACUACGUGCCAGCAGCCGCGGUAAUACGUAGGGUGCGAGCGUUAAUCGGAAUUACUGGGCGUAAAGCGUGCGCAGGCGGUUGUGUAAGACAGGCGUGAAAUCCCCGGGCUCAACCUGGGAAUGGCGCUUGUGACUGCACGGCUGGAGUGCGGCAGAGGGGGAU